GAAAUGCGAUAAGUAAUGUGAAUUGCAGAAUUCAGUGAAUCAUCGAAUCUUUGAACGCACAUUGCGCCCGCCAGUAUUCUGGCGGGCAUGCCUGUUCGAGCGUCAUUUCAACCAUCAAGCCCCCGGCUUGUGUUGGGGACCUGCGGCUGCCCGCAGGCCCUGAAAAACAGUGGCGGGCUCGCUGUCACACCGAGCGUAGUAGCAUACAUUCUCGCUCAGGGCGUGCUGCGGGUUCCGGCCGUUAAACGACCUUCAUAACCCAAGGUUGACCUCGGAUCAGGUAGGAAGACCCGCUGAACGUAAGC
rnacentral:misc_RNA from 1 species